rnacentral:rRNA from 1 species
UUCUUAAAGAAUAUAAUUUUAAGUAAAACCUGCUCAAUGUUAACAUUUAUUAAUAGCCGCGGUUCUACUGUGCUAAGGUAGCAUAAUAAUUAGCUUCUUAAUUAGAAGAUAGAAUGAAAGGUUAAACGAUAUAAAACUGUCUCUAAAUAAAAAAUAAAUUUAAUCUUCCUGUAAAAAAGCAGAAAUAAAUAAACAAGACGACAAGACCCUAAUAAACUUAUCCAUUUAGUUGGGGCAACAAAAUAAAAACACUUUACUUUAAUAUUUUUAACUAAACUCUUAUAAAUAAAAAAGAUUAGUUACUAUAGGGAUAACAGCGCAAUAUUUCUUUAGAGUCCUUAUCUUAAGAAAAGCUUACGACCUCGAUGUUGAAUUAAUUAUCUACUAAACGCAAAAGCUUAGUAAGUUAGUCUGUUCGACUAUUAAUAAAUU